GCGAAAUGGUGGUCAGCAGCCGGUGUGAUGUGAAGGGUGCAGUAGUUAAUCGGAAUGAAUGGGCGUAAAGGUUGAGUAGGGGGUUUGGUAAGGCUGCAGUGAAAUCCCCGAGGGUAACCUGGGAAUGGCAGUGGAUACUGGAAAGCUAGAGUGCGGUAGAGGGUAGUGGAAUUCCCGGUGUAGCAGUGAAGUGCGUAGAGAUCGGGAGGAACACCAGUGGCGAAGGCGGCUACCUGGACCAGCACUGACACUGAGGCACGAAAGCGUGGGGAGCAAACAGGAUCAGAUACCCUUGUAGUC
rnacentral:rRNA from 1 species